UACGGGGGGGGCAAGCGUUGUUCGGAAUUACUGGGCGUAAAGGGUCUGUAGGUGGCUUGCUAAGUCAGACGUGAAAUCCCUCAGCUUAACUGGGGAACUGCGUCUGAGACUGGCGAGCUUGAGUGCAGGAGAGGAACGCGGAAUUCCAGGUGUAGCGGUGAAAUGCGUAGAUAUCUGGAGGAACACCGGUGGCGAAGGCGGGUCUCUGGGCCGAUACUGACGCUGAGGAGCGAAAGCGUGGGGAGCGAACAGG
rnacentral:rRNA from 1 species